CCGAGAGGGAGAGGCCUCGUGACCACGGGGACCUUAAUAAAACACUCGUGCACACGCCCUCUUCUCUCUCGUCCUCUC